UACGGAGGGUGCAAGCGUUAUCCGGAUUCACUGGGUUUAAAGGGUGCGUAGGUGGGCAGGUAAGUCAGUGGUGAAAUCUCUGGGCUUAACCCGGAAACUGCCAUUGAUACUAUCUGUCUUGAAUACCGUGGAGGUUAGCGGAAUAUGUCAUGUAGCGGUGAAAUGCUUAGAUAUGACAUAGAACACCAAUUGCGAAGGCAGCUGGCUACACGAAUAUUGACACUGAUGCACGAAAGCGUGGGGAGUCAAACAGGA
rnacentral:rRNA from 1 species